rnacentral:rRNA from 1 species
UACGUAGGGUGCGAGCGUUGUCCGGAAUUACUGGGCGUAAAGAGCUCGUAGGUGGUUUGUCGCGUUGUCCGUGAAAACUCACAACUCAAUUGUGGGCGUGCGGGCGAUACGGGCAGACUGGAGUACUGCAGGGGAGACUGGAAUUCCUGGUGUAGCGGUGGAAUGCGCAGAUAUCAGGAGGAACACCGGUGGCGAAGGCGGGUCUCUGGGCAGCAACUGACGCUGAGGAGCGAAAGCGUGGGGAGCGAACAGG